rnacentral:rRNA from 1 species
GACGAACGCUGGCGGCGUGCUUAACACAUGCAAGUCGAACGGAAAGGCCCUGCUUUUGUGGGGUGCUCGAGUGGCGAACGGGUGAGUAUCACGUGAGUAACCUGCCCUUGACUUUGGGAUAACUUCAGGAAACUGGGGCUAAUACCGGAUAGGAGCUCCUGCUGCAUGGUGGGGGUUGGAAAGUUUCGGCGGUUGGGGAUGGACUCGCGGCUUAUCAGCUUGUUGGUGGGGUAGUGGCUUACCAAGGCUUUGACGGGUAGCCGGCCUGAGGGGGUGACCGGCCACAUUGGGACUGAGAUACGGCCCAGACUCCUACGGGAGGCAGCAAUGGGGAAUAUUGCACAAUGGGCGGAAGCCUGAUGCAGCAACGCCGCGUGCGGGAUGACGGCCUUCGGGUUGUAAACCGCUUUCGCCUGUGACGAAGCGUGAGUGACGGUAAUGGGUAAAGAAGCACCGGCUAACUACGUG